AGUUAUUUUUUUCUAGCCCUGGUCCCCAGCCGCGAAGUGAGUAAAGGUGGCAUCUGUGGAUAGAACUCCACCUGGAGGGGCAGGAGAGGGUCUGAAAAUUAUCCUUCAUCUUGGGGAAGAACCCACUUCACAUCGAGCAGACUGAGAUCUUCAGGAAGGACGGCCUGUGAGCCAGCCAACAACCACUAACCCACAUUCUCCAUGAAACCCAAGUGCCUUCCCAACGGUGCUGUCCCACGUGGUCUCUGAACCUUUGAGCAAACGGAAUCAUCUGGAAAGCGUGACGGGUAAGAACGCUGAGAUGGAGAGAGAGAAGCCGCUGGCCUUCAGGCACAGGAACAGCCAGGCGUCCUCUCAGGACCGGUCUCCGCUGCGUCCUUCCACCUCGCAGGUGAAGACCCAGCGAGAAGACAUCUGGGGACCCGGAAGCGGGGUCUCACCACACACCAAAUGUACAAGUGCCUUGAACUUGGACAUCCAGCCUCCAGAACCGUGGGGAAUAAAUGUCUGUGGUUGAUAAGC